GUGGAGGGUACUGAGGUUGUGAUUUUAGUUAUGACGUUAGCUGUAGUUGUGGAGGGGACUGAGGUUGUGAUUUUAGUUAUGACUGUAGCUGUAAUGGUGGAGGGGACUGAGGUUGUGAUUGUAGUUAUGACGUUAGCUGUAAUGGUGGAGGGAACUGAGGUUGUGAUUUUAGUUAUUACUGUAGCUGUAAUGGUGGAGGGGACUGAGGUUGUGAUUGGGGUUAUGACGGUAACUGUAAUGAUGGAGGGGACUGAGGUUGUGAUUGUGGUUGUGAUGGUUGCUGUAAUGGUGGAGGGGACUGAGGUUGUGAUUGUGAUUAUGACGGUAGCUGUAAUGGUGGAGGGUACUGAGGUUGUGAUUACUGUUAUGACGAUAGCUAUAAUGGUGGAGGGUACUGAGGUUGUGAUUACUGUUAUGACGAUAGCUAUAAUGGUGGAGGGUACUGAGGUUGUGAUUUUAGUUAUGACGUUAGCUGUAGUUGUGGAGGGGACUGAGGUUGUGGUUUUAGUUAUGACUGUAGCUGUAAUGGUGGAGCGGACUGAGGUUGUGAUUGUAGUUAUGACGUUAGCUGUAAUGGUGGAGGGAACUGAGGUUGUGAUUUUAGUUAUUACUGUAGCUGUAAUGGUGGAGGGAACUGAGGUUGUGAUUGUGGUUAUGACGUUAGCUGUAGUUGUGGAGGGGACUGAGGUUGUGGUUUUAGUUAUGACUGUAGCUGUAAUGGUGGAGGGAACUGAGGUUGUGAUUGUGGUUAUGAUGGUAGUUGUAAUGGUGGAGGGGACUGAGGUUGUGAUUGUAGUUAUGACGUUAGCUGUAAUGGUGGAGGGGACUGAGGUUGUGAUUGUGGUUAUGACGUUAGCUGUAGUUGUGGAGGGGACUGAGGUUGUGGUUUUAGUUAUGACUGUAGCUGUAAUGGUGGAGGGGACUGAGGUUGUUAUUGUAGUUAUGACGUUAGCUGUAAUGGUGGACGGGACUGAGGUUGUGAUUGUGGUUAUGAUGGUAGUUGUAAUGGUGGAGGGGACUGAGGUUGUGAUUUUAGUUAUUACUGUAGCUGUAAUGUUGGAGGGAACUGAGGUUGUGAUUGUGGUUAUGAUGGUAGUUGUAAUGGUGGAGGGGACUGAGGUUGUGAUUUUAGUUAUUACUGUAGCUGUAAUGUUGGAGGGAACUGAGGUUGUGAUUGUGGUUAUGAUGGUAGUUGUAAUGUUGGAGGGGACUGAGGUUGUGAUUUUAGUUAUUACUGUAGCUGUAAUGUUGGAGGGAACUGAGGUUGUGAUUGUGGUUAUGAUGGUAGUUGUAAUGUUGGAGGGGACUGAGGUUGUGAUUUUAGUUAUUACUGUAGCUGUAAUGGUGGAGGGAACUGAGGUUGUGAUUGUGGUUAUGAUGGUAGUUGUAAUGGUGGAGGGGACUGAGGUUGUGAUUUUAGUUAUUACUGUAGCUGUAAUGGUGGAGGGAACUGAGGUUGUGAUUGUGGUUAUGAUGGUAGUUGUAAUGGUGGAGGGGACUGAGGUUGUGAUUUUAGUUAUUACUGUAGCUGUAAUGGUGGAGGGAACUGAGGUUGUGAUUGUGGUUAUGCUGGUAGUUGUAAUGGUGGAGGGGACUGAGGUUGUGAUUUUAGUUAUUACUGUAGCUGUAAUGGUGGAGUGGACUGAGGUUGUGAUUGUGGUUAUGACAUUAGCUGUAGUUGUGGAGGGGACUGAGGUUGUGGUUUUAGUUAUUACUGUAGCUGUAAUGGUGGAGUGGACUGAGGUUGUGAUUGUGGUUAUGACAUUAGCUGUAGUUGUGGAGGGGACUGAGGUUGUGAUUUUAGUUAUUACUGUAGCUGUAAUGGUGGAGUGGACUGAGGUUGUGAUUGUGGUUAUGACAUUAGCUGUAGUUGUGGAGGGGACUGAGGUUGUGGUUUUAGUUAUUACUGUAGCUGUAAUGGUGGAGUGGACUGAGGUUGUGAUUGUGGUUAUGACAUUAGCUGUAGUUGUGGAGGGGACUGAGGUUGUGGUUUUAGUUAUGACUGUAGCUGUAAUGGUGGAGGGGACUGAGGUUGUGAUUGCAGUUAUGACGUUAGCUGUAAUGGUGGAGGGGACUGAGGUUGUGAUUUUAGUUAUGACUGUAGUUGUAAUGGUGGAGGGGACUGAGGUUGUGAUUGUAGUUAUUACUGUAGCUGUAAUGGUGGAGGGAACUGAGGUUGUGGUUGUGGUUAUGAUGGUAGUUGUAGUUGUGGAGGGGACUGAGGUUGUGAUUUUAGUUAUGAUGGUAGUUGUAAUGGUGGAGGGGACUGAGGUUGUGAUUGUAGUUAUUACUGUAGCUGUAAUGGUGGAGGGAACUGAGGUUGUGAUUGUGGUUAUGAUGGUAGUUGUAAUGGUGGAGGGGACUGAAGUUGUGCUGGCUGCAACUGCAGUGUCUGGCUGUGGGAUUAUGGAAACAGGCUCAUGGGCGGACCCUUGUGGCAGGUUCUGGUGGUGGGUCCAGUGGCCAUUGACGGCAGGAGGUGCUCAUCUGAUGCAUGUUAUCAGCAGCGGGCAGCCACUGCCACCCCACUGUGCAGCGAGAUGAGGCGACACAAACCAUUAACUUCAUGAAACAGUGCGGCAGACGGCUAUCUGCUCUUUGAUUCCUGCUGCACACACACCCAAGCGCAGAGAGGAGGGACAUUAUUCUACGAAAUGAUUAGUCUGGUGCCGACACACUCCUCCACUCCCGUCUGUGCCGAAAUGCGCCCUGGGCGGCGGCCGCUAAACUUCACAUCAGCGACUGAUUGUGCGUGCGAGUAAGAGAGCAGAUUUGGCCGCCUAGUUUUGUAUCUUGAGUGGCCAUCUUACAUUCUCCCCAGUUCGAUCGUGGAAAGGUGCUGGUUUUCAUUACACACACACUCACCAACACACACACAAUCUGAUAAGUAAAUCUGCGGAAAGGCGCAUUUAUAUUCUCGCACUCUGGGAUUGGUCCUGCAACAACAGCAGACGUGUGGAGGGACGGCGUGUGCUCACGGUGGACCGGAGUGUGUGUGUUGCUCAUGCCGUCAAUCUGUCCCCGAUUCAAGGCUCAUCCGACACGACGGAAAAAUGCAAAAGUUACGUCUGUCGGUUCUCUGAAAACCAAACCGAACGCAGUAGCUUUGUCGCCGUCAUGAUUAAACAGAAUUUCAGGAUCCGCAGAUUAAAUUCAACAUGCUACAUUUUUCACUCCCAGUUAAAGUCUGAUAAGCCCAUUGAGACAUUCUGUAUGGGGGCAGUGGUGGCCUAGCGGUUAAGGAAGCGCCCCC
ensembl:lncRNA